GGAGGCUGCUAAGUGGUGAAAAGGUUAUGUCCAAAAACCCUAAAACUAACUAAAAACACCAGAAAUUAACAGAGCAACCCCUCCCACCAGCUCCUCCUCCGCCACUGCUGCCGCAACCGCAACCGCAACCGCAACCACAUCCGGCGGUGUCGUAGACGUCAACUGAGUAUUCAUCUACAGAUUGUCUCAGAAAAUUCCAGAAUUUCCCAAGUAUUCCAACCAUUCUUCCACUAUUUGGGAGAAACCUCUUCUGGUGCAUUGCAGGAAGACACAAUUGAUAUAUCCGAAAGAAGCAUGGUAAUAGGAGAUGAGAAAGUGGGUAUGCUCCCGAAGCAGAAGAAAAAAUCCAAGAAAAGCAAUAAGAAUGCUGCUACCAAUGGUCCAGGAGUGGAAGUGGCUGAUGUUGAAAUGCUAAAUGGUGAUUUUAGUUUUGAGGAAGAGAAGUUAUCUGUUGUGGAAACCAAGAAAGAAAGGAAUAAGGCAAAAAUGGAAACUAAAACUGUAGGAGAGAGUGACGAUCGUGACAUCAAGAAAAAGAAAAAAAGAGAGGGUGGAAAACAUCCUGGGAAGUCCAUUAAAGGAAGUGAUGAAGAUGUUGCAAUAAGUGUUGAAAAAAAGAAACCCAAUAAGUUGAAGAGAAGCCAUCAGGAUGAGCGAGAGUUACUUCUUGAUGCUCCUUUAGACACCAAGACUAUUGCUCAUGCAAGUGCGAGUGAAACACGAGAUAGUAAGAAGGUGGUUGAGGCACUCAGCGAGGUCUCUGGUGGAGAUGCAGUAGAGGAGAUUAGGAGAAAGAAGAAAUCCAAGAAAUGCAAUAAUAAUGCUCCGACCAGGGGUGUAGGACUGACAAACAGUGAUGUUAGAGCUGUUGAGGGUGAUUUAAGCUUAGAGGAAGAGAAGCUGUGUGUUGUGAAAACCAGGAAAGAAAAGGAUAAGGUCAAUAAGGAAAUUAAAGCAGCAGGAGAGAGUGAAGAUUAUGAUGUCAAGAGAAAGAAAGAAAGAAAAAGCAGGACGUUCAAUAAAGACUGUGCUGAGGCUGCUCUGAAAAAUGUUGAAAAGAAAAGUAAUAAGUUAAAGAAAAGCUGCCGGGAUGAGCAGGAGACAAUGCAUCAUAUCAAGGAUGGACAGGGAGAUAUCAUGGCAGAAGUCAAUCAAGGUGAUAUUUCUUCACCUGUAGAAGAGAUAGAAGAACAAAGCAGAACAGAUAAUGGUAAUAUCAGAAAGAGGAAAAAGGUAAUGUUAGGACACAGUUCUGAAGAUCCUACACAUGAAAAGAGUGAAAAGAGAGUGAGAUUCUCUGGUCAUGUUCAGAUUUUCCCUUCAUCCGGUGAUCCAAGUGACGAGAAUCAUGAAACCGAGGAAGAAAAUUUACUGCGUGGCAAACGAUUCUCGAAACUAGAAGAUGAAAUUGUCAAAGAAGCUGUUCAUAAGUACAUAGAUAUACAUAACUUGGGCGAAGAAGGGCUGCACAAGAUCUUGAACUCUAGAUCUAAUCCUGAAGUAAAAGGAUGCUGGAAAGAAAUAGGGAGUGCUAUACCAUACAGGCCGUACACUGCGGUUUAUUAUCGCGCACAGGUCUUGUUCCGAAGGAGUGAGACGCGUAAAUGGACUGAAGAAGAGUACGAGAUGGUACGAAACUUCCACAAAGAGCACGGGAACAAUUGGAAGGUCUUGGCUGAUGAACUUGGAAAACAUCGGUUUCAUGUGAAGGAUACAUGGCGAAGGCUAAAACUGGCCAAUAAGAAGAAAGGACAAUGGAGUCAGGAGGAAUACCAGACUUUGUUUGAUUUAGUAAACACCGAUCUGAAACUGAAGCUUUCUGAAGAGAAGAAAUCUAAGCAUGGGAUGUUACGGGAUAAUAUUGCCUGGGGCGCGAUAAGUGACAGAUUGUCCACGAGAACUGAUGCAACUUGCUGCUUGAAGUGGUAUGACCAAUUAACAUCACCCAUGGUGGCCAAAGGUGAAUGGGCAGAUACUGAUGACUAUCGCCUAGUUGAUGCACUUUUUGAGCUGGAUGCGAGCUGCAUAGAGGAUGUGGACUGGGACAAUGUUCUUGACCACAGGCCUGGCGAGAUAUGUCGAAAGAGAUGGAACCAAAUGGUUCUUCACAUAGGUCAACAUGGAAACAGGUCAUUUGCUGAACAAGUAGAAGUUCUAGCUAAGAGAUACCGUCCAGAAUUGGUCGAAGUAAGAGAGGCUUGGGAUAGUAAACCAGUUAUUCCAUGAUAUGGCAUUACUCAGCAUGGAUGUGUCUGUAGAGAGUUGUCUUCAAGUAACACAUACCAUUGGGAUAAACUUCUCCGUCUCUCUCUCUUUCUGUCUCUCAUGAUUAUUGAAAAGUUUUAUAAAACAUUUAGAAGACAUAAUUUAGAAGAGGUUCAUUUCUGUCUGGUCGAAAGAAAAGGGAAAGAUCUCCUCAAUGAGAUAUUGGAUUGUUAAUCUGCAGGGCAAGAGAUCUAUCAAUUUCAACUGCUACUUGAGAUGAAGGCUUGCAGCUGUCUACCUUCAUUUGUUUCCUAGUAAAUAUGGCAUAUAUAUGCGAUGGGUGCUCUCAUGUGGAAGACAUUUGAUCAACCAGCAAAUGUAGAUGAAAAAUGUGCAGGAGUAAAUGUUGGAUUAAUGAUCAAAAGAAAAAUAAAUUUGUUUGAUAUCCCUCUCAAGUUCAUGUUGUUCUAAACUAGCUCUCUCAUUAAAAUUUUGUAAAUAUCUUCAAUCGUAUAUAUCAGAACGAACAUUCUGUCUUGUGAAUGUGCAACUCAAUUUCCUUCUACAUAUGAUGCACAAAAGGAAUAGAGCCAGAAUUUUGUCAUCCAGCUGUAAAUGAUGCAUGAAAGUAUACACUGGCGAUUAUAAUAGACAUCUUGGAGCUGCUCAAAUUGAUCGGCUGCAGCUGGACCUUGUCAUAACCGAGUAAGUAGGUCAACAUAUCAUCUUCUGUCACUGUCACAACCAUUCAGGACAUUUGCACCAAAUGCUUCAGCUUUAGACUGGGGUAAAGACUAUAAGAUGUUCGCUUCAAUAGUUGGCAUAAUAGGAAAGUAUUUAUUUAUUAUAGUUAAUUCGAAGCUUGGCUUUGCUUUGUAGUAUUUGUGCUUUCUGUUAACUUGAUUCCUCCAUCUCUGCCAGUGAUCAGCAGGGGGACUACUUUCAGUGUUUCGCAGGAAAAAAGGUAAGAUGGUGAAUGAUUAAACCUAUGUUGAAUCUGACUUAGUGGAGUUAUAACAGGAGCUUAGUAGAGUUGCAUUCAAAAAAAAAAAUAUAUGUAUGGUUGAUUUUAGCUUCCUUUAAAUGUAGCAACAGUUAAUGCAA